rnacentral:rRNA from 1 species
CGGACGGGUGAGUAAUGCUUGGGAAUCUGGCUUAUGGAGGGGGAUAACUACGGGAAACUGUAGCUAAUACCGCGUAAUAUCUUCGGAUUAAAGGGUGGGACCGUAAGGCCACCUGCCAUAAGAUGAGCCCAAGUGGGAUUAGGUAGUUGGUGGGGUAAAGGCCUACCAAGCCGACGAUCUCUAGCUGGUCUGAGAGGAUGACCAGCCACACUGGAACUGAGACACGGUCCAGACUCCUACGGGAGGCAGCAGUGGGGAAUAUUGCACAAUGGGGGGAACCCUGAUGCAGCCAUGCCGCGUGAAUGAAGAAGGCCUUCGGGUUGUAAAGUUCUUUCGGUGAUGAGGAAGGCAGGUAAGUUAAUAGCUUACUUGAUUGACGUUAGUCACAGAAGAAGCACCGGCUAACUCCGUGCCAGCAGCCGCGGUAAUACGGAGGGUGCGAGCGUUAAUCGGAAUGACUGGGCGUAAAGGGCACGCAGGCGGUGACUUAAGUGAGAUGUGAAAGCCCCGGGCUUAACCUGGGAAUUGCAUUUCAUACUGGGUCGCUAGAGUAUUUUAGGGAGGGGUAGAAUUCCACGUGUAGCGGUGAAAUGCGUAGAGAUGUGGAGGAAUACCGAAGGCGAAGGCAGCCCCUUGGGAAUAUACUGACGCUCAUGUGCGAAAGCGUGGGGAGCAAACAGGAUUAGAUACCCUGGUAGUCCACGCUGUAAACGCUGUCGAUUUGGGGAUUGGGCUUUGAGCUUGGUGCCCGUAACUAACGUGAUAAAUCGACCGCCUGGG